AACGUAGGACACAAGCGUUAUCCGGAAUUAUUGGGCGUAAAGCGCGUGUAGGCGGCUUUGCAAGUCGGGUGUGAAAGCCCUCAGCUCAACUGAGGAAGUGCGCCCGAAACUGCAGAGCUUGAGUACCGGAGAGGAUGGUGGAAUUCCCCAAGUAGAGGUGAAAUUCGUAGAUAUGGGGAGGAACACCGGUGGCGAAGGCGACCAUCUGGACGGAUACUGACGCUGAGACGCGAAAGCGUGGGUAGCAAACAGG
rnacentral:rRNA from 1 species